AUGCUAAUUUGUUGUUUAGUCUUUUUUAUAAAAUCACUGGUGUUAGGUAAGAUAAUGUGUGGAGCUGACCUUCUAAAUUAUGCCUAUCAAAUUGGUACCAUUCAGAGACAGUAUCAGAUGUGGUGUUUGACUGGGACAGCUUAGCUUACCUUAAGGUGGUAACAUAGGUGUUAUGAGGAGACCUCAGGGAAGAAAGAAAUCUCCCAUGGAGCAGGAAAAAACUCUCUUUAUUUUGAUUAUCAAUAUGUAUAAAGAUCAUAAAAGAGGGGCCUUAAAAUCUGCCUGAUGUCGGGGUUUUUAGCAGGGG
rnacentral:ncRNA from 1 species